GUCAGACCUGGACAUGCAGACAUUGUAGUGAUAUCUCUGGGCAAACAAAUUCUGUAUCAAAUUAAAAAAUGUGCUGCUUUUAAUUUAGUGAUUUUAGUAAUUCCUUUUCUUUAAUUGAAUGGGAAUUUCUCGUGUAGAUCACACCUUAGAUUAGAUGUAUCCACACGUUAAGCUUUUAUUGCAAUAGGAAGUGUCCUUUCUGUUGCUAUAAAAAUGAAGAUGAUAUAAUUGUGUGCUUUGGCGAGAAUGUGGCGAUUCUGUUAGAAGGAGUUCCAUUGACUUGAC